UUUUUCAUUAUGCCAUUGAAACACGAGUGUGCAGUAUCUCAGCAAUAAAUUUUCUAAAAAGUCCAUUCAGUUUCCUUCGCAAGACGAUACCUAUUCAUUUUCUGUAACGAUGGAGAUUGAUGUUCCUUUUUUUAUAGGCCAUAAAAAAAGCUCAAGGCCUUGCGGAUUCACAAUCUCCUCUCCUCCAAAGCUUACGCCGCUAUGGCCUCUUCUCUUUCAUAUCCAUUUCUUCAUUUCUCUUCCUCUCCGGAGAAGAAACUCUUUUUUAUCUUCCAUGUUCUCUGUCUGUUGAUUCGCUACUCCAGUCUUACUCUACCAUCAACAUCUUCGCCAGCCACAAUAGCCAUCUCCCUGGAUAAAUCGGAAAAGCUAUUGGUGCGCCGUCGAAGGAUUGUUGGGAGUAAACGUUCAAUGGUGUAUCUUCCUUCUCUUAUCUCUGUUAACCUGAUUACAUAGCCUUCUAGAUCUUUUUCUUUGGUUGUGAUGAAUUUUAGGGAUUCCUUGUGAAGAUCUCUGAUAUUAACAAGCUUAUCAGGCGGAGAAGCUGCUUCUAUAUUUGAAUACGAUGUUGUUAAAGCCCGAAUUUUCUUUUUUAUCUAGUUGUUUUCGAAUUCCCAAAAUUUGAUUGAGCUUUGUUUUGUUUUUUUUUUAUUUUGUCAUAAGGCGAGAUUACAAGUUUGGAUCAGACAAGAUCAUAAUUGAUGGGCCACAGAUAUUCAAAAUGGUCUGAUUCUUUUUCUUUAAGUUCAACAUCUAAUGGCUCUAUCUCCCCCACUUCCCCUGAUUCGAUUGUAUGUUUGUAUUAUCUGUAAUGGAAGUGUCCAUCUCUUGCCAGGGAUCAUGUUUACAUGGUAUCUUCUCAUUUACACAAAUAACCAUUCCACAAGAAACUUUUAAUCUUUCCACCGAUUGCUGUAACUUUUAUACAAAUUGAUUACUAUGAAACAUGAGGAUUCAAUGCAUCUAUCACGGACUAUACUGCAGUAAGCAAUCGUCUGUGUAGAAGACAAGCAAAUGAGUGAUUUUUUCUUCCAUCUCAUCUAAUCAGGAACCAAAGGCUUCCAAGCUCCAAAGGUACAUCAAGUGUAACUAUAUGAAUCUUCUACCUUGAGGCUAAAGAUGCAUGCCUGGACUACUCAUUAGAACUUUCAGGAUGGAAAAUCUAAUUAUUUGGGGCUGUUCUUGGCAGAAAUAACUUGUGCAGGAUUCCUUCAGACGUGUGGUCAGCAUAAGUUUAACUUAGUAUUUGUUAGGAUUGCAGAGCCUGGUUUUUUAAUCCUCGCUCCUUUAUACCUAAGUUUCUGCUCUAUUGAACAUAAUUACAUUUCCUUUUCCUGGACAUCGUGGGAUCAUAAAGAAUUCAAGGUUAAUAUCAAUGGUUUAGUUGAGACUGCACCAGUUCCUGAAGAAGUCUAGAAUAUCCACUACGGUACUCCUUGGCCCGGUAAUAUUGUGCGUGAUCAUCCUGCCAUGAACAAGGUCUUCCUCAGAAACAAAGGUCUUAACGAUGUAGAAAACGACGAGCUACCUAGGCUGGUUUAUGUUCUCGUGAGGAGAGAGCCCAACUGACCAUCAUAAUAAGGAUGAAGAAAAUAAAUUUAUUGGUAAACGAUUAUGCUUAAUCUUUGAUUGUAUUAUUUAAACUGAAAUAUAAUGGUCUCUCGCAAACUUAACUGUGUUUACUACAUCAACAAUAGCAAAGCUCUUAGAGAGAAGCAAUGUGUUUCCCAAAGGAUCCUUAGUCGGGAAAAAGAUUUGUUAUGUUUGAUUCCCUCAACAAGAACUAUUAUUUGCAGCACUUGAAAGUUGACCAACAGAUGAAAACAAGGUUUUUCAUGAAUAUUUUUAAUCCCCCACAAUAAAGAGAUUUCUUACGGUUUUUCAAGGAGCUAGAAAACAGAGAAUAUUAGUUUGGAAUCUGGGACAUACACAGCCGGCUUUGCAACUCUUGAAGUAGUGUUCAUGAACAUCGCUAGACGUGCUAAACUCAGUGGUUGAUAUCUCAUGCAUUUAUAAGUUUUUGCUAUCU